GGCUCCAUAGUGUAGUGGUUAGCAUGUCUGCUUUACACGCAGAAGGUCCUGGGUUCGCACCCCAGGUGGAGCCA
rnacentral:tRNA from 1 species